GACGAACCGUGCGAACGUUGUUCGGAAUCACUGGGCUUAAAGGGCGCGUAGGCGGCUUCGCAAGUCCGGGGUGAAAGCCUCCAGCUCAACUGGAGAAGUGCCUUGGAUACUGCGGGGCUCGAGGGAGGUAGGGGUGCGUGGAACUUCCGGUGGAGCGGUGAAAUGCGUUGAUAUCGGAAGGAACGCCGGUGGCGAAAGCGACGCACUGGACCUCUUCUGACGCUGAGGCGCGAAGGCCAGGGGAGCAAACGGG
rnacentral:rRNA from 1 species